GACGAACGCUGGCGGCGUGCCUAAUACAUGCAAGUCGAACGGAAAGGUCCGGCUUUUGUUCCGUUCUCGAUUGCCGAACAGGUGUGUAACACGUGUGUAUCCUCCCCUUGUCUGUGGGAUAUCUUCUGGAAACUCGGGCGCAUACCCGGGAUAAUCUCCUGCUGCAUGGGGUUGGUUGGUAAGAUUCGGCGUUUGGGGAUGGACUCGCGGCUAAUCAGCUUGUUGGUGGGGUAGUGGAUUACAAAGUCUUUGGCGGGUAGCCGGCCUGGGCGGGUGACCGGCCACAUUGGGACUAAGGUACGGGCCAGACUGCUACGGGCGGCAGCAGUGGGGAAUCUUGCGCAAUGGGCGGAAGGCUGAUGCAACAAUGCCGCGUUCGAAAUGACGGCUUUUGGGUUGUAAACCGAUUUCGCCUGUGACGAUGAGUGAGUGACGGUAAUGGGUAAGGAAGCACCGGCUAACUACGUG
rnacentral:rRNA from 1 species